AGGCAAAAGACCUUCCCAACCAUUAGGGCACAAACACCCUAAUUUCUCCGCUAUUCUUCCUCUUUCUUCUCUUCCUCUUCUUUGAAGGCACAAAUGCUGAGACUUCAACACCCCAAUUUUUUCAGUCGACAGUCCUCAACAAAGGCCGAGACCUCAGUAGCGUAGGUUUUCAGUCGACGGUUUUCCAUUUUUGCAAAGGGGUUUUGUUCUCAGAGAUCUCUGAAAUUCGAAGUCGUGUGUUUGUAGAAUUCUGAAACUCGAAGUUGUGCAUUGAUUUUAGGGAUUGCAUGUCCUUGAUAAGAUAUUGCCCUCCCUCCAGAUUUCUUUGCUAAUUUUAUUAUAUUUUAGAAUUAAUUGGAGCCAAGAUCGUUGUAUUUUGGUCUAAAAAAGUUAUCAAAUUCAACAAUUCAGUGAGUAGUUCAAGCAUUGGAUAGAUCAGAUAUGCCUCGAGGUAGAGGUCGAGGUAGCGCAGGCCGUGUAGGUAAAUCUUCUGUUAGGGGUAAUUUUGCUACUCGUGAAAAUAUGCCUACUGUUCCCAUUCCCACAAUCAGUCCUCAACAAGGUGGUACGAGUUCCUCAGGUGGACCAGAUCACAUCAAUCAAGUUCAAACAUUAGGUCCUAGUAGUAUGCCACCUAUUAAAACAUCAGGCCAUAGUAGUACCCCAACUAUUAAUUUGGAACCAUCUCCAAAUACCCCUAAUAAGAGCAACACAAUAGGCGAGGGUACUUCUUCUCAAAGCAACAUAAUAGGCGAAACUGAGUGUAGCAAUACCCGCAGGCCGCAGACGCUUCUUACUAUUUCUCCUACAGGGUUAGUCUAUACUUAUACUAUUACUUUUAGUAUAUUUCAUUGAUAUAUGGUAUGCCUUUAAACAAUGUCUUCUACUUGGUUCAGGUUAGAGCCUUCAUUUGAAUGCUUUGAUUGUAUAACUAAGUCUUUUAAGCAUGAACUUGAUCCUAAUGGAAUCAACUAGAAAAGCGUCUCAAAUGAGAUAAAAAAAAUUAUUUUGGAGAAUUCAAGGUAUAUAAUCCAUCACAAUUAUAUUAACUUUGAUAUGUAACUUAUUAAUGUUAUUACUUUACAAAAUUAUUUCAGAAGGCAUUCUACUAGGAUUCUUCAAUUGAUAGUGCGGUGCGGAUCCAAUGGGAGCAUAGGGCAACAAAAAGAUAUAGUGAUUUUGUUAGCAAACUAAAAUCAAGUAGGGUGCAACUAGACACUAUUCCAAAUAAUGUGUGGGAAAGUUGGUCGAGACUUUGGAAAGAUCCUAAGUGUGUUGAGAAGUCAGAAAUAAAUGCAAAAAAUCGUUGUGGUGUGAGCGGAGUUGCCGCUGGGACUCACAUAGGUGGCUCUAUCAAUGUUGGGGAGCAUCGCAAGAGACUUGUUUAAUGAUAAGCUAUAUCCAGAUCAAUAGAGUCCAAGUUCUUAUGAAAUGCAAAACUGCUGGAAAAAUAUCAGGAGACAUUAACAACGAACACAAACUCAAUCUGAUAUUGAUCAGUGUAAAGUAUAUUAUCAAGCCACGAGAGGAGAAAAGAAAAGAAGAGUAUAUGGUCUUGGAUCUCAAGCAAAAUGCUACUACGGGCCAAAUCUUGAUGGCUCUUUUGGAUCUGAUGCUACAUCGUCAGCAACACCUCCAAAUGCUCAAUCAACAUCGAUAGGGAAUCUGGAUGAGUUAGUGAUGCGAUUGAUUCCUGCGCUGACAGAUCAUAUAGUUCCUGUAAUCGUUGACAGGGUACACGAAUUAGUUUUCUUACCCUCGCAUCACCCAAAUACUGAUCUUACCCACCGCCCAUUAGGUGUGACACCUACAGUUCCUAUAUCUUCUACUGCUGCUAACAUUGAUGAGGUUCAUGCAUUGAGUUCUGAUGAUGACCGUAACUCUCCAGCCUCGCAUCUUCUACAUCUUUAUUGUUGGUCCUUGUGGAUUUUUUGAACUUAACAAUACUGUUAUAUGCAUUAUGCUAUAUUUUGGACCUUGUUGAAUAUAUUGUUAAUUUAUAUCAAUAUUAGUGACUUUUUAUUAA